AGUGAACGCUGGCGGUAGGCCUAACACAUGCAAGUCGAACGGCAGCACAGUAAGAGCUUGCUCUUACGGGUGGCGAGUGGCGGACGGGUGAGGAAUACAUCGGAAUCUACUUUUUCGUGGGGGAUAACGUAGGGAAACUUACGCUAAUACCGCAUACGACCUACGGGUGAAAGCAGGGGAUCUUCGGACCUUGCGCGAUUGAAUGAGCCGAUGUCGGAUUAGCUAGUUGGCGGGGUAAAGGCCCACCAAGGCGACGAUCCGUAGCUGGUCUGAGAGGAUGAUCAGCCACACUGGAACUGAGACACGGUCCAGACUCCUACGGGAGGCAGCAGUGGGGAAUAUUAGACAAUGGGCGCAAGCCUGAUCCAGCCAUGCCGCGUGGAUGAAGAAGGCUUUCGGGUUGUAAAGCCCUUUUGUUGGGAAGGAAAAGCAGCAGGUUAAUACCCCGCUGUUCUGACGGUACCCGAAGAAUAAGCACCGGCUAACUUCGUG
rnacentral:rRNA from 1 species